AUGAUUGCUAGGGUUUGUAUUUUAGCAUCCCCUGAGUUUAUGUUGAACCUGACAGACAUAAAGUUAUGGGGCUUAGUUGUAUUCGUGUGCUUCGGGAUUCAGCGUGCACAUGGUCUGGCAUUAACACCAUAAUUAGUGGGUUUUCUUUGCUGAAGGAUGUCGUCAUGUCAAUGGAUCAAGGCUUCAAAGUUUCCAGCUCUCAGGAGAGGAGGAGGCUCAGGGGUGACCUUAUCACUCUCUGCAGCUCCCGGAAAGCAGGUUGUGCCAGGAUGAGAGGAAAUGGCCUCAGACUGUGCCAGGGCAGGUUUAGGAUGGACAUUAGGAGGAAUUCCUUCACAAAAAGGGUUGUUAAACAUUGGAAUGGGCUGCCCAGGGAGGUGGCGGACUGACACUUAGUGCCGAGAUCUGGUUGACAAGGUUGGGAUUGGUGAAAGUUGGACUCAGUGUUGGAGGUCUUUUCCAACCUAAUUGAUUCCGUGUUUAUAUGAUUCUACAAGUAUAACUUCUGAUUCAAUAGAUGGAAGGUUUCUUUAUAAUAAAAUACAUUUCCCAUCUCUACAGGAUUGCAAGAUAGCACACUUCAGAAAAACAAUAUUGAUAGAACUACGGAAGACAGUCUUGAUUCACGAUCACAUCAUGUCAGUUAUGGGGCCUUGUGAGUCUUUUUUGAGAGUGAAGAGAAAUAUUUGUCUAUCGCAUCUGGUAGGUGAUGAGAAGAAAAAAGCAUCUGCUGAAAUGUAUCCAUGAAAAUAGGCGAUGUUUUUGGUAAAUGAGAAAUUAAUGCAACACAUCUAUACACUUUAACCACGACUGUGUAGUUUACGACAUGAGUGUUAUCCCUGUGUCUACUUUUAACACUGUCUUUGCAAGACCAUCCAUGGGAAGAAGGUAGAGAAGGGAGAAUAAUUAGUAAUGUACGUGUUCUGUGCCACCGGAUAAAGGCACAUCACCACUUACAGUAAGGUCAGCCAUUCUGUCACCAGGACAGACAGGAUCUUAAAAUUGGGACAUAAAGAACAAGCAGAAUUGAAAAUAAAGAAAAAAAAUAAUCGGGAUCUUCUCAAAACAUCUCUCUCACUUCAGCUGUUCUUCAAACAGCACAAAGCAGGAUCUGGCUGACAGCAUUUAUUCCCUUGAAGGUCAACUUUGAAAGAAAGAGCUACUGUAGCUACCUCAAAAGACUGUGAAGCUUUUUUUUUUUCCCAGUGGAGGAGGGAGCCUGAGCUCUGGCAGCAGGCAGCAGGAAGAGACAGGCGGGUGCUCCCCAGGGAGAUGCUCCCAUGGAAAUACAGCCCUGCCCCAACCUGGGGUCCCGCUGCUCGGGCUGCUGCGGGUCCUGAUCUGCAGGGCCCAGAGAGGGGAAUGCAGGAAAGAAAGAUGACAGAGUUUCCAUGGUGAGUCACCUCCCUCUCAGAGCCUCUCCUGUUUGACAGUGUUGAGCCAGCAAACAGUGACUUUCCGUGGCAAAAUGCCUGAGUGAGGAGAUUAGGCUGCCUUUGUUUAGGGCUGUUUCAUUUAUUAGGUCACGAGGUUCCUGAAGUCAUCGUGGGACUGUUUGGAAACAGCAACACGCGAGGCCAGAGAAGGUUCCUUUGCAAAUAUACAGCAUUUGCACUUGGUUACUUCUAACUGAAAGGGGAUUUACAGCAUCAGCAAAGUGAAAAUCACACAGUACCUACAGACAGCUCUGCCAAGUGACAUCUGGACUUAGUGAUUUAACUGUUAUCAGGGUGCCUGCAUUUGAAACAACCCUGGUCCUCUUGAUCAGGUGAGGCAGACCUGGAGAGGGCCACACAGUACUGCUUUGGAAAAGUUGUGCUAAUUAUCAGGAGUUGCUCUUUUUUUUUUUAUUUGCAAUCAGAUUUUCUGCUUCUGUAAUUCCAUUCUUUUUAUGGCAUUUAUGAGUCAAUUGCAAGACUUUUAUUUGCACGCUGUAACAGUAUGGUUAGCAUGGCCCUAGGUGGAAGAUACUAAGUUGCUAACGAGGCUUCCAGUACUCAGCAACGGAAACCCACAAAAAAUAUGCAAACUAAACUGCAAACAGGACUGGCAGAGACCACAGUUUGGGGG